AGCGAACGCUGGCGGCAGGCUUAACACAUGCAAGUCGAGCGGGCGUAGCAAUACGUCAGCGGCAGACGGGUGAGUAACGCGUGGGAACGUGCCCUUUGGUUCGGAACAACACAGGGAAACUUGUGCUAAUACCGGAUAAGCCCUUACGGGGAAAGAUUUAUCGCCGAAGGAUCGGCCCGCGUCUGAUUAGCUUGUUGGUGAGGUAACGGCUCACCAAGGCUACGAUCAGUAGCUGGUCUGAGAGGAUGAUCAGCCACACUGGGACUGAGACACGGCCCAGACUCCUACGGGAGGCAGCAGUGGGGAAUAUUGGACAAUGGGGGCAACCCUGAUCCAGCCAUGCCGCGUGAGUGAUGAAGGCCCUAGGGUUGUAAAGCUCUUUCGGCGGGGAAGAUAAUGACGGUACCCGCAUAAGAAGCCCCGGCUAACUUCGUGCCAGCAGCCGCCGCCGUAA
rnacentral:rRNA from 1 species